AACAGUGCGUGAAGGUUGUCAGUUCUUAGAAAUAUGAAAUUGCUGUAACGACCGACACGUGCACCGACCGAGACCGUUUGUUAGGACAUCAGCGUUCCGAGAGAUUGCAAAGUUGCAGUCUCUGCUGGGUUGCCAUACUAAAUAGUGCUUUUUGCGUAAAAGGAGAAACAUGACAAAGAUUGCGCAUCUAGAGGACAUGACUUUAACAUUCCUGGCAACACUCACGGUCAAUCGAUUCGUUAUUGGUAUGCUGGUUGUAUAAAUUUGAGCAACGCCGGGGGCUGGCCUAGUUGCAUCUUGCAAUAACUAAUGAAGGCCGUUCGGUCAUGUAAUGUAUAUGUAGGUUACAUCUUCUACAAGUCGAUCUAACGCGCAAUCAACAAUGAGAUAUGAAAAAAACGUAGACAUUCUACGAGUGAAGGCUGCAUUAGUGAAGAUGAGUCUACACAUCCGUAAGAACCUCGCUACGACGAUCUACGUCCUGUCAUCGUUUGUGUUUUUGCUAUCUUGUCUAGCUGCUCACAGUUAUUUAAUGUUUUAUGCGAAACUAGACGCUAACGCUACC